rnacentral:rRNA from 1 species
UAGGUGGCAAGCGUAUCCGGAAUUAUUGGGCGUAAAGCGCGCGCAGGUGGUUUCUUAAGUCUGAUGUGAAAGCCCACGCCUCAACCGGGGAGGGUCAUUGGAAACCUGGGAGACUGGAGUGCAGAAGAGGAAAGUGGAAUUCCAUGUGUAGCGGUGAAAUGCGUAGAGAUAUGGAGGAACACCAGUGGCGAAGGCGACUUUCUGGUCUGUAACUGACACUGAGGCGCGAAAGCGUGGGGAGCAACCAGGAUUAGAUACCCUGGUAGUCCACGCCGUAAACGAUGAGUGUUAAGUGUUAGAGGGUUUCCGCCCUUUAGUGCUGAAGUUAACGCAUUAAGCAUUCCGCCUGGGGAGUACGGCCGCAAGGCUGAAAUUCAAAGGAAUUGACGGGGGCCCGCCCAAGCGGUGGAGCAUGUGGUUUAAUUGGAAGCAACGGGAAGACCCUUACCAGGUCUUGACAUCUUCUGCCAACCCUAGAGAUAGGGUUUUUCUUUCGGGAGCAGAGUGACAGGUGGUGCAUGGUUGUCGUCAGCUCGUGUCGUGAGAUGUUGGGUUAAGUCCCGCAACGAGCGCAACCCUUGUUUUUAGUUGCCAUCAUUAAGUUGGCCAUUUUAAGGUGACUGCCGGUGCCAAACCGGAGGAAGGUGGGGAGGACGUCAAAUCAUCAUGCCCCUUAUGACUUGGGUUACACACGUGUUCCAAUGGACGGUACAAAGAGCUGCAAGACCGGGAGGUGGAGUUAAUUUCAUAAAACCGUUUUCAGUUCGGAUUGUAGGCUGCAAUUCGCUUCCAGGAAGCUGGAAUCGUUAGUAAUCGCGGAUCAGCAUGCCGCGGUGAAUACGUUCCCGGCCCUUGUACACACCGCCCGUCACACCACGAGA